UACGGGGGGAGCAAGCGUUGUUCGGAUUUACUGGGCGUAAAGGGCGCGUAGGCGGUCGUGACAAGUCACUUGUGAAAUCUCCGGGCUUAACUCGGAACGGUCAAGUGAUACUGUCGGACUAGAGUACAGAAGGGGCAACUGGGAAUUCUCGGUGUAGCGGUGAAAUGCGUAGAUAUCGAGAGGAACACCUGCGGCGAAGGCGGGUUGCUGGGCUGAUACUGACGUGAGGCGCGAAAGCCAGGGGAGCGAACGGG
rnacentral:rRNA from 1 species